UGCGACCGAACCUGCUAGCAAGGAAAAGUUCUUUAAAAUAAUGGAUGUCAGCCGCGUCCAAUCGCAGCGACGAGCCUCCUGCUCGGGGCGGGGCAUAUCCUCGUCGGCCAGUAGACUGCAGGGGGCGGGGCCUGCCGUUCAUGCUUGGUUGCCGUGGAGCACAGCUUCAAGUGAAGUUAAUCUGAGGGGAAGCAAACAGAAAAUUGUGGAGGUUUUGGUGGUAGGAUUUUUGUUCCGAUCUUCUAAUAAUCCUUUAUUUUACACUUUUGCUCCUUUAUGCUUCUGUGUGUGCUCGGUUCUGUCAUUGUGCUAUUUUCUGAUGCAAACCGAACAUUAACAUUAAGCAGGGAAGCAGAACAAAAGGGCUGUUUGGACAGGAAAUAGGUGUUGAGAGGAUCAAACUUGACUUUGUUCGUCAGGAUCUCUAGUUGAGAGCUUGAGUGUGGUUAGAGGUCGUGGGGGCCGGGGUCCUCUCCAGCAACGGGCUUCCUCGCCCUCACACCUGGAGGGGGUCGUGCCCCUGAACUCAGGGGGUCGUUGAAUCCACGGGAGGGCGGGCGGCGGGGGCUCGGGCGCGAGUGCGGUCACUGGUCGGCGUCGCCGGGGCUAUCCCUCCCACCCCCAGGACCCCCCCCAACUACUGUGUGCUCUGGGCUUACCCCCAGCACCUCCUCCUACAGUGUCCCCGGACUCACCCCCAGGAACCCCCCCAACAGUGUCCCCCGGACUCACCCCCACCACCUCCGCCUACAGUGUGCCCCGGACUUGCCCCAGCCCCUCCCCCAUUACAGUAUCCCCCGGACUCACCCCCAACACCUCCCCCUACAGUGUGCCCCGGACUCACCCCCAGCCCCUCCCCCUGCAGUGUGCCCCGGACUCACCCCAGCACCCCCAUCAACUACAGCGUGCUGCGGACGGGGCAGCGGGCUGGCAUCCUUAGUGUGCCCCGGAUUUGUUGUUGAGGAGCUCAUUGACUUCAUUCUGUGUAGCACAAGGAAUGAAUCUGAAGUCUGCUGCAAUAAAACACUGAAGGCUUUACAAUGUUUUCUUGCAUAAAACUCAAAACUUUAAGUAGCUGCUUAUGAGGCUAGGGAAGGCAGGAGUCUAAUGUGUGUCUCAAGAUACAGGACAGCUGUUUGCCCAUCAACCUCAACUGUGUGAGUAGACUUAACGUGUAGCCCUAGGUCACUGGGGAUAGUUAAUUUAAAGUGCUUGAAGAUAACACUUAAAUCAGCAUGAUGACACAUUCCUUAGGAUCUGGGUUUUUUUUCUGGUGGGUAGGAUACUGAGGGUGGAAUGGGUGGUAGAUUUUUAUUUAUAAAAUAUUUUUGAGAAAAACCAUAGCUAAGUAUCAUUAGUGACCGUGCAUCUUUUUUUCAGAAUUAUUUUAAGCAUUGGAAUUUGCAUUACUAAUCUUACAGUAAAGCAGAAGGUUAUAAUUCUUAAGACUGCAGUUUAUUUUAUAGUUGAUUUCAGCCUUUCUAUAUUAAUAUUUUUACCAAAUAACCAUAGAAAUGUAUUUUGGGAUUAUGAUGUUACAUAUUAAUAUAGGAAAUUGCUCUUGGGAAUAAUUUCAUAAUUUAAAUUACAAUUAAAUUUCAUAACUUUUAAAUAGCUCUGUUUAACCAGAGAGAGCAU
ensembl:lncRNA